rnacentral:ncRNA from 1 species
UUUCGUGAGGAAUCGUCUGAAGGAAGCCCGAGCGCAAAACUGCGAGCCUACGGACAGAAACGUCAUACGACUGCAGGGAUGCAGGUAGAGUAACGCAGGAGCAGUUACCGAGAAGGCCUAGUCUCUGGGGUGAGUGGGCACAAGAUCACAAAGCCCUGGGUUCAGGAGAUAAGGUAAAUGGCGGGGUUGUGCAGUGACAGUUCAU